rnacentral:lncRNA from 13 species
UUAUGGUUGUGAGGUCUGGGGUCCGCUCACCAACCAAUAAUUCACAAAAUGGGACACACACCAAAUUGAGACAACGUAAAACUUAAAACAUCAAAUAAUUCUGCUCUGCAUGAAUUGUUUGAUGUUUUAAGUUUUACGUUGUCUCAAUUUGGUGUGUGUCCCAUCUACCCACAGCACCACCAGGGUUCAGCCACCUCCCACCAUCAUCAUUAACUCUCUCUCCCACAGCACCACCAGGGUUCAGCCACCUCCCACCAUCAUCAUUAACUCUCUCUCCCACAGCACCACCAGGGUUCAGUCACCUCCCACCAUCAUUAACUCCCUCUCCCACAGCACCACCAGGGUUCAGCCACCUCUCACUAUCAUUAACUCNNNNNNNNNNNNNNNNNNNNNNNNNNNNNNNNNNNNNNNNNNNNNNNNNNNNNNNNNNNNNNNNNNNNNNNNNNNNNNNNCAGGGGAAGGCAGGGGGAAAUGGCUUUAAUCAUUAUGAGACAAGUUGUUUAUUUUGACUGAAUUAGUCUUUCUAUGGCAUUGGGAAAACAUACCCAUUACCCAUCGACAUGGGUGUACACACACACACACACACACACAAAGUCAGUGCCAAAGACAGUGUGAGAAAGCAGUUGGUGCUACCUUCAUGGUGAUGGGUAUUCCACACAAUCUCCAUUAAACCUGUGACUCAUAUGAAACCAUAGCCAAGAAUCCAACUAUUCAGGCUGCAUCUAUGUGUCUCUUUUCAUGAAAUAGAUAUUGCAUUAUUCAGUUUAAUACACUAAAUGGCCUAUAAAUGUUGUUUUUAACCAAGGUUAUUUAUUUGCUAUAGGACAGUAGUACUUUAUGAUGUUAGCGACCCAUGAAUACUGGAGGUGAUGCGGAAGCAGUGGAUCACUGCGUCUGUAGUGUUAGUGUGCAGGCAUUUGGGUUUAUUUAAGCAGACCUUUUCACCAAGUAUCUACAUAUAAUGGAUGUAACCCGUCACAACAUUACCAUUCUUUCUUAUAUAUGUAUAUAUUUUUAAAGGUAUUUUUCAGAUUUUACUGAAGAGAGAGAGGGAGGAUGACAGUAGGUUGUAUGAAAGGGCAGUAGGCCGGUAUCCAACCCAUCCUGACACCGUAGAUCUGUGAGGCUGUGGCAUUGCCACUAGUCCAGCCAGACCACCAUUGCCAUUAUUUAAAUACAUUUGCUAAUAUCACACACAGGCUGAAACUGUUCCAUCCACCUGUCUGGCACGAGUACAAGAGAGAGAAGAGAGUUCAGAACCCUCAUUAAAAAAGGACAAAAAAACGUCAUCCCCACCCACCACCCUACAUUUCUCCCCAUAUUUUGGUUCAGCUGUAAUAUGGUUGACCUCACACACCCUUGUUUUAAUUCACUCCAGAAAACACAGCUCUCGCUCUCUCGUCAUUUUUAUGCUGUUAUCUCGGAGAUUACUGCCAUAACUGUGCACUGAUUACUAGAGUGUAUUGCAGGUUAGAAUGUGCCCUUUGGCCCUCUAACGCAGUGGGCACCAUGUCACAGGGACAAAGAUGGCAUGGUUGCUAGGGGGGCCACCUCACUCUGGCUCCCAGUGGUCCCUACUUUGUGUAAGAUGGAUUCCCACUAAUAAUAUUUUUUUAUUUACAUAGACAUGAAAUUGUGAGAGACUCCAGACACCAAAGUCAUAGACAGUUUUUUCUGCUACCACACGGCAUGCGGAACCUGUGCGGCAAGUCUAGGACCAAAAGGCUCCUUAACAGCUGCUUUUUACACUGCUGCUACUCGCUGUUUAUUAUCUAUGCAUAGUCACUUUACCCCUACCUACAUGUACAAAUGACCUCAACUAACCUGUACCCCUGCACACUGACUUGGUACCGGUACCCCCUGUAUAUAGCCUCGUUAUUGUGUUACUUUGUAUUCUUUUUUACUUUAGUUUAUUUGUUAAAUAUUUUCUUAACUCUUCUUGAAGUGCACUGUUGGUUAAGGGCUUGUAAGUAACCGUUUCACAGUAAGGUCCAGUAAAUGCCUGUUGUAUUUGGUGCAUGUGACAAAUAAAGUUUGAUUUGAUUUGAAAGACUAAAAACACCAGGAAAUCAACUCCAAGUGAAUUUCAUUUAGAAAGUAUUCCCACGCAUAAUAUAAAGACGCGUGAUCGUAUACAAAUGUAAGCCAGGUUUGAAAUUAUUAUGUUUUAAUCAAAUAUUAUUAUUAUUUGUUUGGGCAAAUUAUUUGCAAUUCCUGUAUGUUCCGACCAUCGGCUGAAGAAGAAAAAACUGUCCGUCAGCGGAAUCUAUACUUAACAAAAACAUAAAACACAACAAUUUCAAAGAUUUUACUGAGUUACAGUUCAUAUAAGGAAAUCAGUCAAUUUAAAUAAAUUCAUUAGGCCCUAAUCUAUGGAUUUCACACAACUUGGAAGGGGAUAGGCCCACCCAAUGGGGAGCCAGACACAGCCAAUGAGAAUGAGUUUUUCCCCCCACAAAGGAUAAUUAUUACAGACAGAAAUACUCCUCAGCACCGUGGUUACACGUGUUCUGCAGUUUUGAAGCCGGUUGGAGGUAUUGCCAAAUUAUCUAAAAAUAUGUUGGAGGCAGCUUAUGGUAGAGAAAUUAACAUUCAAUUCUAGAGCAACAGCUCUGGUGGACAUUCCUGCAGUCAACAUGCCAAUUGCACACUCCCUCAAAACUUGAGACAUCUGUGGCAUUGUGUUGUGAGACAGAACUGCACAUUUUAAAGUGGCCACCCCAGCACAACGUGCACCUGUGUAAUGAUCAUUCUGUUCAAUCAGCAAACAUUUUUUAGAGAAAUAAGCAUUUUGUGCGUAUGGAACAUUUCUGGGAUUUUUUAUUUCAGUGCAUGAAACAUGGGACCAACACUUAUACAUGUCGCGUUUAUAUUUCUGUUCGGUGUAGUUGAUGAUCCCUGGUGUAGGCCAUCGUUUCCCAACACAUCUUCAGGGACCCCAAGACUGGACAUUUUGGUUCCAGCCCAGAAUGAACACACCUGAUUCAACUAAUCAAGGCAAGGGCUUGGUGAUUAGAUUCACUAGUUGAAUCAGAUGUGUUAUUGCUGGUCUAGAACUAAAAUGCGCAGGGCAUGGGUUCCUAAACCAACGGAUUUCUGUAAAACACUGGUCAGGCCUGGUGGUUCCUAAGGCCGGGAUUAAAUGUGAAACCUCCCUAUGACACUUGACAUUUAAAGGGAAUUUCCAAUUGAGCUGACAUCUGCUGUGUUUACCUUGAAUUUAAUCUCCGCAACACGUUAACAUUGUGCUUGUAGGCAACGUGGCAAUCAGAUUUAAUCCUGGCCUAAACUGUUUUGUGCUAUGACCCAACUAUACUCUUGAAUGUAUGCAGCUGUGCCAGAGCUACCAAAAGGUUUCUAUGGGAACGGGGUGCUUUUCUGGGUAAACAUAACAAUAAAACUGGGUAAAGAAAACAAUAAAAAUGACAGCUACACCCUAUGACUGCAAUAAUGAUAUAUUCAG